rfam:Thermoanaerobacterium saccharolyticum JW/SL-YS485, complete genome.
GAAACCCUAUGGUGUGCGUGAAAUGCGGUAAUGUUUUGAGCCAACACCUAUAAAAAGGGAGCCUGGGCUCUGGUAAUGGAAUAUAAGCCAUCUUUGAAUGGACAUAUGAAGUUAUCAGGAGGGCACCCACCUGCGAGAGCAGGUUCAAAACCACCGACUUAACGGCACUAUGGGGAUUUU